rnacentral:rRNA from 1 species
UACGUAGGGAGCAAGCGUUGUUCGGAUUUACUGGGCGUAAAGGGCGCGUAGGCGGCGCGGUAAGUCACUUGUGAAAUCUCUGAGCUUAACUCAGAACGGCCAAGUGAUACUGCAGUGCUAGAGUGCAGAAAGGGCAAUCGGAAUUCUUGGUGUAGCGGUGAAAUGCGUAGAUAUCAAGAGGAACACCUGAGGCGAAGGCGGGUUGCUGGGCUGAUACUGACGCUGAGGCGCGAAAGCUAGGGGGAGCGAACGGG